AAUGGAAUUAAAACCCUGUGGUGAUUGUGUUACAUCAGUGUGAAGAGGGCAGUCUGUUCAAUGCCUGCAUCUAACCUAUAAGACGAGGGCCUCCCCUUGUGUUGGGAGGGCAACACUACAAAUCCAAGGAGUGUUUGCAAUGUACGCAGUAGUCCCAGCAAGAAGACACAAGAGAUCGCAGAGACUUCAUUCUCUCCCUUUCGUCGACAAAAUGAACCUUAAAACCUGUCUGUUUGGCAUCGUGAAUGUGUUAUUCUUUAUCGGAACAACAUCAGCAUGCCUUCAGAAAAACAUUUCCUGCAACGACAUUAAAUCUGCUGACGGAUACAGGUUCCCUUAUCCGUGUACUGGGGCAUCAGGAAUUUACGUACAACGUAAUGAGAUUCAGAUUGCUAGAGCUAUGCUUAAGACUCAAACUUUUAACUAUCCGGAAGGUGGUCAAGUGGUGAGCAUGGACAACGAUUCAGUCGUUACAAAGGACUGCGGUGACGUGGAAAUAAGAUGCAUAUUUCUUAGCGAAAAUAAUAUUAAGGAAACCUGUAAGGACUUUAAAACCAGGUAAGGCAGCAAUAUGUUGUAAAUAGCUGUUAUACUAUUCAACCUUAUCUUACAUCACUGAUUAUAAAUAUACAC
rnacentral:lncRNA from 1 species